rnacentral:rRNA from 1 species
ACGCUGGCGGCGUGCCUAAUACAUGCAAGUAGAACGCCGAAGAGAGGAGCUUGCUCUUCUUGGAUGAGUUGCGAACGGGUGAGUAACGCGUAGGUAACCUGCCUUGUAGCGGGGGAUAACUAUUGGAAACGAUAGCUAAUACCGCAUAACAAUGGGUGACACAUGUCAUUUAUUUGAAAGGGGCAAUUGCUCCACUACAAGAUGGACCUGCGUUGUAUUAGCUAGUAGGUGAGGUAACGGCUCACCUAGGCGACGAUACAUAGCCGACCUGAGAGGGUGAUCGGCCACACUGGGACUGAGACACGGCCCAGACUCCUACGGGAGGCAGCAGUAGGGAAUCUUCGGCAAUGGGGGCAACCCUGACCGAGCAACGCCGCGUGAGUGAAGAAGGUUUUCGGAUCGUAAAGCUCUGUUGUAAGUCAAGAACGAGUGUGAGAGUGGAAAGUUCACACUGUGACGGUAGCUUACCAGAAAGGGACGGCUAACUACGUGCCAGCAGCCGCGGUAAUACGUAGGUCCCGAGCGUUGUCCGGAUUUAUUGGGCGUAAAGCGAGCGCAGGCGGUUUGAUAAGUCUGAAGUUAAAGGCUGUGGCUCAACCAUAGUUCGCUUUGGAAACUGUCAAACUUGAGUGCAGAAGGGGAGAGUGGAAUUCCAUGUGUAGCGGUGAAAUGCGUAGAUAUAUGGAGGAACACCGGUGGCGAAAGCGGCUCUCUGGUCUGUAACUGACGCUGAGGCUCGAAAGCGUGGGGAGCGAACAGGAUUAGAUACCCUGGUAGUCCACGCCGUAAACGAUGAGUGCUAGGUGUUGGAUCCUUUCCGGGAUUCAGUGCCGCAGCUAACGCAUUAAGCACUCCGCCUGGGGAGUACGACCGCAAGGUUGAAACUCAAAGGAAUUGACCGGGGGCCCGCACAAGCGG